rnacentral:lncRNA from 1 species
GUUUGGGGCAUAAAGGUUUACAAAAGUAAAUAUAUUUUUAUCGAUUUCUAUGUUGAUUAAAACAAUUCUUCCGUCUUGAUCUACAUAUUUAUCUAUGAUUUCAUACUUAAUUUUUUGGUUGAUAUAAAUCGAAACACCUCUUGAUUGUGUGCUUCCAAAACUAUGAUAUAAAUCGCCCGUAAAUUCUUUAUCUAUUGAAUUGUUCGAAAAAUGUGUUUCUUGUAAAAAUAUUAUGUUGCAUUUUUGUUGUUUUAUCCAUUCUUUUAGUCUAAUUCUUUUUUUCAUAUUUUCCUAACCCCUGACAAUUUAAAGAACAUAUAUGCAAUGGAUUAAGUGACAUCUUGAUUUUGUUUUUAAAAAAGUAUUUGAUACAUGUAUUUCAAAUAUAAAAAGCAGAAUAUACAUACAAAUAUAU